AAAAGGCUAACCCCUGACAAUGUUUUUAACUUAGGGAUGUUUCAAGAUGACAACAUUCAUCAUGAUUUUGACUCCCUACUUUUCCUUGUCUCAAGCACCUCGCCUACAGAACUAACGCUCUGAAAUAUGAUCGGAUAAUAUUAAUAUAAUUAAGAACUAAACAAUUGCUGCAAGUAGCUCGUGAGUUGUGUAUGGAAUUGCCAUUCUAAUUUUAUGUAAAUGUAUGCUCCAAUAAAACAAACCUUGAACCAAGGAACCAAUGAACUCAGGUGAUGCUUUUCAGUUUCUCAGUGUGUCAGACAACUGUUAUGCAGACAAUCUUUCGAAUUGUUAGACAGUCGAAUCAGUUUUUCGGACAAGUAUUACGCAGACAAACUAUCACACGGUUAGCCCAAACGGUUAUGCACACAAUCUGUUCUUCUCAGUUUCGCACACUUAUUCCAUUCACACAAAAGCAUCACCUGAGUUCAUACAAUUCAGUUCAGACACAUAGAAUUCACCAUCAGUUCUGCAGGCGUGAAGCAGCAUAUAUGCAGUGUUUGGUACCAGCUAGCAGAAGCAGGUGUGAAGCAACAUCUAGCUCAAACAACAUAUAUGCAGUAGUACUUGGCUUCAGUUGUAGCAGCCGGUGUCCAUGGAAGUAUGGGGUAGAGAGAUCCAUAGAUAACAACUUGUUCGGCUAUAAACAAAUAAAUAGAUAGCAUCAGUUAACUCAAAUAGUAGAGAAGUAAUUUACCUGAUGAUUUGAGGCCAUCAUGACAUGCCACACGACAAGUCGAAACUAUAAUAAAAUAAUCUCACUAAUGCAAUCAACUUAAACACGCCUCUAGCAUAUAAAAAUGUAAGAUAUAGAGGCUACUUAAACAACUACUAAUUGAACAAACACUUACAAGCGCCAUCUUGAUGAAAAGCUUAGCUUCGCUCGAUCUCAAAUCUGCACAACAACAACAAAUAAAAUCAGUGACAUCAAACAUGAACAGGCGAACAACAAAAAUCAAGAAAAUCAAAAGAAUUCUCUCGCUAAGAGGUGGGGGUAAGGUCAACAACGAAAAUUACCCCACUUAGGAGAGCAAAGAAAUUUGUGCCACGCAUGCAUGCAUAAAUCUUGAGGGAAAUCCUUGACGCAAAUAAAGGAUGCCAUCAGUGGCCGCACAGGAAAGAAUCGAGUUCUAGGGAUCCUCCUCCUGAUGCACAUACACGAGGAUACCGUUUGAUUGUGAAGACAAACUCUGGACCCAAAUCUACAUAAAAGGAAGACAAAUGUUUUAGGUUCUCUGAAAUUUCACAGCUCACAGCGACAAAUGCAUCAAAUGUGUUGUUGUGCAAUUUCACCUAGUGGUAUGGAGGCACGGAUAGACUGCAAAUCGAAGGAAGAUAGGGAGAAGACGAUUACCUUGGUGGAGUCCAUCUCAAUUACAGAAAAGGCUCAUCACUCUCCUAGUCUCCCCCACUCAUCUCUCCUGCCCCGCCACAACCCAGCGAUGGCCUAGUGCGCUGCCGCGGCCUCCACAACCACCACUUUUGCGUCGAGCCGUCUAUCGGCCUACACGGCUCGGCCGC
rnacentral:lncRNA from 1 species